GUUGAAGAACGUAGUGAAAUGCGAUACGUAAUGUGAAUUGCAGAAUUCAGUGAAUCAUCGAAUCUUUGAACGCAUAUUGCGCUCUCUGGUAUUCCGGAGAGCAUGCUUGUUUGAGUAUCAGUAAACACCUCAACUUCCAUAUCUUUUUUGAAAUGGGAGUUGGACUUGAGUGAUCCCAACGCUUUUCCUCACCGAAAAGUGGCGGGUUACUUGAAAUGCAGGUGCAGCUGGACUUUUCUCUGAGCUAUAAGCAUAUCUAUUUAGUCUGCCUAAAAAACAGAUUAUUACCUUUGCUGCAGCUAACAUAAAGGAGAUUAGUUCUUGUGCUGACUGAUGCAGGAUUCACAAAGACAGGCUUCGGCCGACUUUGUAAACUCGAUCUCAAAUCAAGUAAGACUACCCGCUGAACUUAAGCAUAUCAAUAAGCGGAGGA
rnacentral:misc_RNA from 1 species